CCUGCUGCACCUCGUGCUUUCGCAAGAGUCGGAGUUCUCCAGCCGAGGCUCAGGACUGCUGCAGGAUGGAAAAUGAAAGUUCUUGGAUCACCUUCCGCCUCUCCGCUUCUGCACAGUCGGGGCUGCGGUGCGAGGAGCCUGGCCGCGGGGCCGAGCGAGGUGGAGGGGCCGGGGCCCUUGGGGAACGCCCUUCUCUCUUCCACGCUCCUUUAGGUAAAAACCCGUGUUCCUCACGCUCGACCAGCUGCGGUCUAUUUGCGUCUCCACGUGUGUGGUGUUAGCUCCAUGGGGGAGAAAGCUCUGUGUUGUUCACCACCGUGCCUGUGACCACCACUGCACCUAGCACACAAUGAGCACUGAAGAAAGCACUGAGUCGCAGAAGAAUGGAUGAAUUCCCCUCCCUGGUGAGGCCAGAAGCAACAUCCCAUGAGCACAUCAUGAGCAGCUAUUUCUCCACUUCAUUGCUCGCUGAGUUUGCCCACUUGAAAAACCCUCCAACCCCUCAUCUGUGCAGGUUUGGAAUUCUGUGCACGACUCAAGAAUUCCACGAGGUGCAGCCCAGGCACACCCCCUUCUAAUCCUCUCCCUCUGGGGAGCCCUUUCCUGCUCCUUCAUCUGAGUCGCUACCACCCUGCUGGCCUCUUCCAUGCAGUUUAGCCCCUGACAAUGACUCACGGACUCAUUUGACUCUCAUCAUCGCUAGGAGUUUAAAACUUCUCCAGGGUCAGGGAGUAGGUCCUAACCUCAUUCGACACCUCACCGAGUGCACUGUCCCUUUCUCAGCACAUUCUGCCACUCAGUAAACGUUUGAAGAAGCCUCAUGAGGGCAGGAAUCUUUGUGUUUUGUUUCUCUGAUGUCUCCCAAGUGCCUGGCCCUGGAAGGCAACUGAUGCUCAAUCAAUACAUAUUUUAAUAAAUUCACUAGUGAACUGAAA